rnacentral:tRNA from 1 species
UGUCAAAGGAUGGGAAUCGAACCCACGACCUUAUGCUUACCUGGUAGAUCCCAUGACCACUAGGCUACCCUGGAC